CAGAAAGUAUUAACCACUUUAAAAAUUCUUUAAUAAAAAUACGCACGGGUUAAAAUGUACAAUCAUUUAAUGACACGCAAUUUUUUACCAGAUUUGAUGCCUUACAAUUGACUCCUCGCCAGCUGAUCUCCGCACUGUUGGUGGCAUGCUUUUCGCGAUGUCAGCAAAUAAUUUAUAUUCGUUCGCCCUAACUAACCGACUAAUCUGCAUCGUCGACCAAAGCCCCGAAGCGCAAAUAGCAUACAAAUGAGUGAUUGAGGUGAAGGCAAAGAGAAAGAUUAUGUUAUCAAAUGUCAACAUACAACAGUCAAAGUUGAGACAGAAAAAGUCGCCAAAAGGAAAGAGAGUGAGAGAAAUGUCUGAAGCAACAGCAGCUUAAUCAAUUCAAUUGUAAGGAGCACAGCUGUCACUAAAUUGGCUGAGUUCGAUUUUGUUAUUACACAAGGCGCACAGAGUACAAGUUUAUUACAAAUUUGGUUUUAAAUUGAAAUAUUUUUACCCAUAGUAUACAGUAGGAAAA